ACCAGCUGAGAAGUAAGACGCCUGAGAGAUGAACAGGGGCUGCUGCCAUCUAAGGAGUGUCCCUAGCAGCGGGAGUGAUGGUGCAUGGCUGUGUGCCUGUGUUGGUGUCCUCUGUGCUCCCGGAUACACAUGUUGGAGAACAAAUGCUGUUCACUGGUUUGGGGUCCAGUGCCAAGAACAAAGUCAAGAUUCUCUCUCGGCACAUUCAAGACUCUCUCUGGAGUAUCGUUCAGUCUCCUUCCCUGCAAAUUAGAGCUCAAUUCUUGCUCGGACAUCUUGGGAUCCUGAAAUGAGAUAACGUGCAUGAAAUGCAGCGCCCGCGCAGUCGGACAUGUGGAAGGUACUACAUGAUGGCAGCACCUCCAUGCUGGUCAUGGUGCUUGCAGUGUGCACGGCUCCUGGAAACACCAGCUCACAGAGUCUGUGGAGUAGACCUGCCGGGGAAGUCUGAGUUGCUGAUGACCCAUAGGACCAAUGGCAGCCUGUGCACCGAAGUGUCCCUGCAAAGUCAGGCUCCGUGGCCACUAACCAGAGCCAUCACUUCCCAGGCACACGCAAAGUCCAGCUUCCUCCCAGCUGCUUCAGCUUCCUGAACGAUCUCACCGUUCUACUGUGAAGAACAGAGAGAGACAAAGUUGUGCCGAUCUUCCUCGGGUCCUUUGCAAUCGAGUGUCACCUGGGCGCAUGUUACCCUGCCUGGAGAAGCCUGAGGGGCCUGCGGGGAGGAGGUCUUCAGGGCCAAGCAGAGUCUCUUCCUUUUGUGCUGGAAGGUGGCCAGGGUCUGGUGGAGAGUUGUUUGUUGAAGGCUUUGAGGCCUGGCCUGGGGCUCUUAUUUUCCCAUGUGCUGAUAAAGGAAGGGGGCCCCUGGGCCUCUCCGGGUCAAGCUUCUGAUGUGGCCCAGGGGCUACUCAGCAGGGCAUGGUGACCCUAGCUUCACUUCACAGAGGAGUGUUCCCAGCACCACUGGGUUUGGGCUCCUGUCCAGGCAUGGGCAUACUGGGUGGCCCUGCUGCCCAUCUCUGGGGAGGAGGGCAAGUUUGCCUCCCAAACUUUUCCAAAGGCUUCCACUGCCUUCCCCUUGCCCCACCAUGCGCCAUCUAUCCCCGUGACCCCAAGCGAGCUUUUUUGGGAUACCAUAUCCUACAAGCAUAUCAGAGUGAAUAUUUUAAAUACACCGCCUCAGGUAUGUGAGUUUGAGGUGAUCUGAGGCCCCCACUAUUUGCUGAUGAUGCCAGCUAUGGCCUUGCCCUCCUCAGCUGGAUUUAGCAUUCAACAGCCAGCUGUAGGCCAGCCUGGUAGGCAGGAAUCCUGGAACACUGGUGUUGGACAGACCACCGAGGCCAUCCAUUCUUUGGAAGCAGGUAAUAUGGCUUAGUAGAAGACAAUGGACUGACAGCUGAUCUGUGCUGGGCUGCCCCAGUGGGUAGAAAAUGUUCUCAAAUGGAACUGAAAUCUGUCUCCCUGAGGUUAGAAAUCAGUGACUCUUGUUGUGGCAUCUGAGAAAUCCCAGAACAAGUCCAUCCUUUCUUCCAUCAUUACUAUUAUCAUUUAUAGCUUACAUUGGUAUGGAGUCGAUGGUUAUGAAGGAUACCUCUGUACAUAUGUGCUAAGGGCCUAAGUAAGUCUUCCCUGGGUGAAACAUCACAGCUUCCUCCACACAUUCCUUAAAUGGCAAACGUUUCCUUUCUAUACGAACCGCAGAGUCAGUUUUCAUCUCAAAAUGUUCUGUUUAUAAAAGUGAUGUAUGCUCAUAACGGAAAUUAGGAAAACACAGACAAUAAAAAAAAGAAAAAGAAAAAAGAAAAGAAAAAAUAGGACCAGUUUGUUGGGCACUUCUUUCAGGCAGACUCUGGGAUUGUCUGGACCCGCAGUGGCCUUCAGGUCCCUCUGAGUUACCGAUAGUCAGCCUGGUUUCAUACUUUAAUUUCAAAUUCAGUUUAAAUCCUGCUGCUUUGCCUUCUUCGGGACAGACUCCACUGGGGACCUCUGGCUCUUGGACCUACUACUCUCCCCCAGUGUCCCCUCCAUUUCGAGGCAGCUCGUUCAGUGCAUUGGGAUGAGGAGCAGAGAGAAGACAGCAAUCUUCCUUCUGUCAUUUUAGUCCCUGUGUCUCUUUUUCCACCUGGCUGUCAGCGCUCCCUCUCUGGCAGGCAUGAGAAUCUUGGGCACACAGAGGAGUUAUUCUGGGGGAGCCUGGGGAGCCCCUGCCCUCUCGGGGUGCAGGAGGUGCCUGUGUCCUUGUUGUGGCAAAUGGAAGAGUGUGUGCACCCUACCGUGUCUCCCCAGGAGCUGCCACUGUCUUUUGUUGUACGGUUGAAUUCAACGUGCUAAUAUUGAAUUAGGGUUUAAUUAGAGUCUUUGUGUCUUUAUUUCUUACUGAAAUUAAUCCAUUCACUUUGCCGCUAUAUCCCUUUUCUUUUUUUAAAGGUUUUGUUCUUAAGGCUGUGCUAGACUUAUAAAAUAAAUUGGAUUGUUUUCCAUCUUUUUCUGUACUUUGGAACCCUUUACAUAACGUGAGAAUUAUCUGUUCCAUGAGCAUUUGAAAGACACCCUGUGACAAAAGUCUGACCCCAAAGCCUUUUAGGGGGAGGCAGUUUCUUUGAAAUUGAUUUGGUUUCUUCCAUGCUUUUUGGUCAUUGCAGAUUUUUUUAAAACUUCUUUUUGAGACAAAUUUAGUAAUUUGUGUUUUCUCAGAAAAUGAUUCAUUUUACUUAAGAGACUUUCAAAUACAUUAGCACGAAGUUGUACCACUGUAUUCUCUUACAGCCAAAAAAACCUUCCUUCAUAUCUGUUAUGACAUCGUAUUUCCCAGUCCCCUGUUUUGUGUAUGAUCUCUCUCACUCUUUUCUUUCUUUUUCAAUCUGUAUUAAGGUUUUCAGACAUUUCUCUAUUGAAAUGCAUGUUUGUAAA